UUCCCACUGACGAGUCCCAAAUAGGACGAAACGUGCGCCGUGGAU
rnacentral:hammerhead_ribozyme from 1 species